rnacentral:misc_RNA from 1 species
UAACAUUCAAUCAACUACAGCUCGCCACAACCGUUUCAGAAUUGAAGAAAAAUAUAUCUCACAUAACAAAUAGAAAAUGUGGGUAUACGUAGACAUUAACCUCAAGCCACACAUAUAAGUAUAUCAAACUAUAUCAGGUUGCAAAACAUUUUUCUGUAUUGCGAACUCUUUAUGCAUAUGAAACUCUCCUUUCUUGAUCAAAUUGCAAA